rnacentral:rRNA from 1 species
GAUGAACGCUGACAGAAUGCUUAACACAUGCAAGUCAACUUGGUGGCGGACGGGUGAGUAACGCGUAAAGAACUUGCCUCACAGCUAGGGACAACAUUUGGAAACGAUAGCUAAUACCGCAUACUACCAGAUGGACCUGCGUUGUAUUAGCUAGUUGGAGAGGUAACGGCUCACCAAGGCGAUGAUGGGUAGCCGGCCUGAGAGGGUGAUCGGCCACAAGGGGACUGAGACACGGCCCUUACUCCUACGGGAGGCAGCAGUGGGAAAUAUUGGACAAUGGACCAAAGUCUGAUCCAGCAAUUCUGUGUGCACGAUGAAGUUUUUCGGAAUGUAAAGUGCUUUCAGUUGGGAAGCGGUACCAACAGAAGAAGUGACGGCUAAAUACGUGCCAGCAGCCGCGGUAAUUC